GCCAUUAACAUCAUCGUAAAUUUAAUCAUGUUUCUAAUUGUAAUAUGAAUGGUUAUUAUAAUGUCGCCAAUCAUAUUAUUAGUAUCAUGUGUUUAUUUUUCUUUUUUACUUCAUUCAUCAACAGGACAGCCAGGAUAUUUUUAUCAAUAUGAUCAUAUUGGAGUUUCUACUAAAGAUAGAUUAAAGACUAUGGCGACAGAACUUGUGAGCGAAUCUAAACACAGAAUAAGACAAGUAGAAGGGCUUAAAGAUUUUUAUUCUUCAGACCCUUCUUUUGAAAUGGGCCUUAUAAUGGGGGAAAUUCGAGAAAAAUAUAAGUACAUGUUGGAGUUGUAUCGAAUGACGGAUAACAAAUACACCCAGAAAGUGAAAUUUUUAUAUCCAGCAGUUCCUCUGAGGAAGCCUUUACAUUACAUUAUUAGAAUGGAAUAUAUUCAUCAGUUGGAAAUAGAUAUUGAUAGAUUAAUUAUAAUACUAGAAAACUUAGAACCCACUUUAAGUUACAAUAAUUUUGGUUGAGGCAAUAACAUGUUUAUUAUGGUGUUAUUCGAUUUAUACAAAAGGAUUGUUAAUAAAAUAAUGU